rnacentral:rRNA from 1 species
UACGUAAGGGGCAAGCGUUGUCCGGAAUCACUGGGCGUAAAGCGCACGUAGGCGGCGCAGCAAGUCAGGGGUGCAAGCUCCAGGCCUAACCUGGAAACUGCCUCUGAAACUACUGUGCUUGAGGGUCAGAGGGGAAACUGGAAUUCACGGUGUAGCGGUGAAAUGCGUAGAUAUCGUGGAGAACACCCGUGGCGAAGGCGGGUUUCUGGCUGACAACUGACGCUGAGGUGCGAAAGCGUGGGGAGCAAACAGG